rnacentral:rRNA from 1 species
ACCGGAUGCGGAUCUCGAAAGCCUGUCCCAGUUCGGACUGGAGUCUGCAACCCGACUCCACGAAGUUGGAUUCGCUAGUAAUCGCGCAUCAGCCAUGGCGCGGUGAAUACGUUCCCGGGCCUUGUACACACCGCCCGUCAAGCCAUGGGAGCCGGGGGCGCCUGAAGUGCGCUGCCGCAAGGAGCGCCCUAGGGUAAAACCGGUGACUGGGGCUAAGUCGUAACAAGGUACC